AGAUUGAACGCUGGCGGCAUGCCUUACACAUGCAAGUCGAACGGCAGCACGGGAGCAAUCCUGGUGGCGAGUGGCGAACGGGUGAGUAAUACAUCGGAACGUGCCCAAUCGUGGGGGAUAACGCAGCGAAAGCUGUGCUAAUACCGCAUAAGAUCUACGGAUGAAAGCAGGGGAUCGCAAGACCUUGCGCGAAUGGAGCGGCCGAUGGCAGAUUAGGUAGUUGGUGAGGUAAAGGCUCACCAAGCCUUCGAUCUGUAGCUGGUCUGAGAGGACGACCAGCCACACUGGGACUGAGACACGGCCCAGACUCCUACGGGAGGCAGCAGUGGGGAAUUUUGGACAAUGGGCGAAAGCCUGAUCCAGCCAUGCCGCGUGCAGGAUGAAGGUCCGUUCGGUUGUAAACUGUCUUUUAGUACGGAACGAAAGUCCCUUUACUAAUAAGAGGAUCGAUGACGUACGUAAG
rnacentral:rRNA from 1 species